UUUCCGUAGGUGAACCUGCGGAAGGAUCAUUAAAUAAUUUGAGUAUGCUUCUCAGCAUAUUUCUAAUUUACUGUGAACUGUUUUACUGUUUAGCGUUUUGAGGGAUGCUUAAAGACUAUAGGGAUAGGUCUUUGAGAUGUUAACCUAGCUAAAGUCAGGCUUAGGCCUGGUAUCCUAAUUCAUUAUUUACCAAAAGAAUUCAGAAUUAAUAUUGUAACAUAAGCGUAAAAAACUUAUAAAACAACUUUUAACAACGGAUCUCUUGGUUCUCGCAUCGAUGAAGAACGCAGC
rnacentral:misc_RNA from 1 species